rnacentral:tRNA from 1 species
GGCCGGUUAGCUCAGUGGUUUGAGCGCAGUGCUGAAAACAAUGACAACACCGGGUCGCAGGUUCAAGUCCUGCUCAGUCCC